CCGCCGGCGACCGGCGCACGGGUGAGUAACACGUAUGCAACCUGGCCGUGACAGAUGGAUAACCGGGAGAAAUCCCGCCUAAUACAACAUAAUGCCGGGAGGGGACAUCCCCUGCCGGUCAAAGGGGGCGACCCCGGUCAUGGAUGGGCAUGCGGCGCAUUAGGUAGUUGGUGGGGCAACGGCCCACCAAGUCGACGAUGCGUAGGGGUUCUGAGAGGAAGGUCCCCCACAUUGGAACUGAGACACGGUCCAAACUCCUACGGGAGGCAGCAG
rnacentral:rRNA from 1 species